CACUGUCCAACCUAGAGCUAACAGACUGAUCAGUCAACACACUGUCCAACCUAGAGCUAACAGACUGGUCAGUCAACACACUGUCCAACCUAGAGCUAACAGACUGAUCAGUCAACACACUGUCCAACCUAGAGCUAACAGACUGGUCAGUCAACACACUGUCCAACCUAGAGCUAACAGACUGAUCAGUCAACACACUGUCCAACCUAGAGCUAACAGACUGGUCAGUCAACACACUGUCCAACCUAGAGCUAACAGACUGGUCAGUCAACACUGUCUAGUUCAUCAGUCUGUUGUUCUCUCUGUCUGCUGUAGUGUCUAGUUCAUCUGUCUGCUAUUCUCUCUGUUUGCUGUAGUGUCUAGUUCAUCUGUCUGCUGUUCUCUCUGUCUGCUAUUCUCUCUGCCUGUUGUAGUGUCUAGUUCAUCUGUCUGCUGUUCUCUCUGUCUGCUAUUCUCUCUGUCUGCUGUAGUCUAGUUCGACUGUCUGUUGUUCUCUCUGUCUGCUGUAGUCUAGUUCGACUGUCUGUUGUUCUCUCUGUCUGCUGUAGUGUCUAGUUCAUCAGUCUGUUGUUCUCUCUGUCUGUUGUAGUGUCUAGUUCAUCAGUCUGCUGUAGUGUCUAGUUC
rnacentral:lncRNA from 13 species